AAACGACCCCUGCACUUUGUUUCAAAAAAAGAACCAACGGGCAGAACCUAACUCUCUAUGAACGUACAAUUCCAGCUUGUCUUCAACGGUAAUGUGUCCAUAUUUCUCAACGGAUUUUUGCUCAUCUUCUGGGAGAAGUUUGGGACUUUGAUUUUAAAAAGGGUGAACGGUCAUGAAGAUUUUGGGUUCUAUAAAAUAGAAACCCUUCUCUUUAUUUUAAGAAAAGGGGGAAGUUCAGAGAUAAAAAAUGGGUUUUCACACCCACAAUGGGGUUUUUGACAACCCUCAAGAGUGAGAACACUCAGAAACCCGGCUAAGCCGUUGAGUUUUGAGGAAGUUCUCGCUCAUGUUUAAUUUUUCGAAGUCAUUUCCGUUCGCCGGAAAUCGAUUCAGGUGAAAGGUAUCUUUUAGUCAACUCUCGUCGCCCCUGUCGCUGCUUGACAUAAGGAUUUGAUUUCAGAUGGUUUCCCUCUUCUGCCAUAUUGUGGUUUUUUUUAGUUCCCUUGUCCAAGUGAUAAGUGUUUGAGCUUACCAGUUGUUGACCUGCUUUUAUGCUCAAAAAAUGAUUUGUGUUUAGCAUGCUAUUUGGGAUAAGCUAAUUUGCGGAAGUGUAGCAGAAGGGCUGUUUUGAAACAUGAUCUAACACACUCAUGAUUACCUCUUAUUAGUUGAUAAUACAAUAAGGAUAAGAAUUUGAAAGCUGAACUUCAUAUUAUUCAUCAUUAACAUGCUAUUAAGAAAUCUCAUGAUGUUGUGUUGUGAUCACCUUUCUCUUUGGUCAGUUGUUGUUAAUGCAUGACUACUGAUCCUGUCAUAAAUAGUCUUCCAAAACAACUGAACAUAAUUCUAGAUUUCCUCAUAUUUUGCUAAAUGCUAAAGAAAUUUCAUGAAUGAUUAUGCUGUGUGUUUUAAAAGAGCGAGGAUAACUCACUGUAUGAUUGUCUAAGGUCUAAAACUCUCUCUUAUCUUGUCUAAAUUGAUUUAAACAACUAGCUGCUAUUUCCCAGAGAUAUUGUUUAAUUCUCAAAUGUUUUUUUUUUUUUUUUUUUAAAAAAAUACAUGUUUAGCUCAACUUAAUUAAAUAAACCUUUCUUAAUAGGAGGAAUCCUUUGGUCCUGCCCUUUUAUCUAGGAAGAGAUUUUGUUUCAACUGAAUUUGUUUGAUGUUGCAAUUAGCUUUUGUUAAAAAUUCAGUAACAUCUUCUAUUUCCCUGCUUUUCUGUUAGAGAAACAAUGUGUGAUAUGAAUCUGUUUGCUGUUUACAUGUCUAAUGUUGUUUGUUGGAGAGGGUAAGGAAUGUGUAUGCUGUUUUCUAGUUAAAGGGUUAUAAGAUAAUUUUAUCAGAAAGUCAUGAUAUGUCCUCAUCUUAUCUAGCCAGACUUAGUUUUGAACUUGUCUAUCUCUCCCUGCUUAUCAGUAAGUUUGAACCCAUACUAAGCACCCUCGGACCUAUUUUCUUUUGUGUGGUUUAUCUUCUAAAUGUAUUAAGAUGAUAUGUCUAGCUCAAACCAUUUCCUUAACACUCAGAUUUGUCUUAUUUCUGUUUCAGGAUUUGAUUUCAGAUGGUUUCCCUCUUCUGCCAUAUUGUGGUUUUUUUUAGUUCCCUUGUCCAAGUGUUAUUGUGUUUGAGCUACCAGUUGUUGACCUGCUUUUAUGCUCAAAAAAUGAUUUGUGUUUAGCAUGCUAUUUGGGAUAAGCUAAUUUGCGGAAGUGUAGCAGAAGGGCUGUUUUGAAACAUGAUCUAAACACUCAUGAUUACCUCUUAUUAGUUGAUAAUACAAUAAGGAUAAGAAUUUGAAAGCUGAACUUCAUAUUAUUCAUCAUUAACAUGCUAUUAAGAAAUCUCAUGAUGUUGUGUUGUGAUCUCCUUUCUCUUUGGUCAGUUGUUGUUAAUGCAUGACUACUGAUCCUGUCAUAAAUAGUCUUCCAAAACAACUGAACAUAAUAAUUCUAGAUUUCCUCAUAUUUUGCUAAAUGCUAAAGAAAUUUCAUGAAUGAUUAUGCUGUGUGUUUUAAAAGAGCGAGGAUAACUCACUGUAUGAUUGUCUAAGGUCUAAAACUCUCUCUUAUCUUGUCUAAAUUGAUUUAAACAACUAGCUGCUAUUUCCCAGAGAUAUUGUUUAAUUCUCAAAUGUUUUUUUUUUUUUUUUUAAAAAAAAUACAUGUUUAGCUCAACUUAAAUAAACCAUUUCUUAAUAGGAGGAAUCCUUUGGUGCCCUUUUAUCUAGGAAGAGAUUUUGUUUCAACUGAAUUUGUUUGAUGUUGCAAUUAGCUUUUGUUAAAAAUUCAGUAACAUCUUCUAUUUCCCUGCUUUUCUGUUAGAGAAACAAUGUGUGAUAUGAAUGUGUUUGCUGUUUACAUGUCUAAUGUUGUUUGUUGGAGAGGGUAAGGAAUGUGUAUGCUGUUUUCUAGUUAAAAGGGUUAUAAGAUAAUUUUAUCAGAAAGUCAGUAUAUGUCCUCAUCUUAUCUAGCCAGACUUAGUUUUGAACUUGUCUAUCUCUCCCUGCUUAUCAGUAAGUUUGAACCCAUACUAAGCACCCUUGGACCUAUUUUCUUUUGUGUGGUUUAUCUUCUAAAUGUAUUAAGAUGAUAUGUCAUAAAAUAUGUCAUUGUGAUGAAGUGUUAAUACUCUGGUUAAUAGCAUAAUUUCUCUGAAUAACCAACAAUGAUUAUCAACUCUCAUUCACUUAUUUUUACAUUAACAGUAGGUAUGGGUUGCUAUGGUUAGUUCUUAGUUUUACUUAUCACCUUUUGAUAGCCCUGUGUUUAUAAGUGAUCAUUUUAAGUUUGAAAUUUGAGACUUAAGAGCAUGAAAUGAAUGUGUGUAGGCCAGACAAUUCAUAUGUGCAUACAGUAUCCUAUGUCUUCUAACCUCUAGUUAUUCUAUUAAGUAUGAACACAGUUUCUUUUUGAUAAAAGCAAAGGAAGUGAGUAUGUUCAGUUCUGUUUAUAGGAAGACUAGAAAAUGAUUUUUACUUGAACAUUGUAUGACCAUGUCUUUUUAGGUUUUUUUUUUUUUUUUUUUUUACAUUUAUGUAAUUCUUGGUUUUUUCCGCUUUCCAUUAUCUCUACACCAAGGCUUAGGUAUCACCUAUUCUCUUCCUAUACUUAAUUGCUCAUAUGUUGCCAAAAGGAAAGUGAAGACAGUUAUAUAAUAGUUCAGUUGAAAAUGGAAUAGACUACUGUUGGUAUAUGCUCUGUGUUUAUAUACAACGUGUGUAUUUUUAGAAUCACUAUGUUUAGCUCAAACCAGAAUUUAAGUUGAGUCAAGAUGGUUAGGGGCUGUUUUAGGCUUCAAUAUGUGCUAAACUUUCUGAUCUUUUAAUAAGAGGAUUCUAAUUUCUAUGUGGUUCCACCAUGAGCCAAUGUUCUUGUCUAGUUUUUGGUUCAGAUGUUUUUUCGGACUUAUUGUUAUCUUGCUGGUUGAAAAGCUAAGGCAAUAUUCGGGUUCGGUUUAGCCUCCUCCAAGACCCUGCUUAAGGUUCUAGAAACCUUCUGAUCAUGUGCGACACUGGAAUAUAGAUGGUGGUAACCCUCUUGAGAGGCUACAUUUUGGUGGUGCAAAGUGAUGCACCUGCUGCUGCACUUUGCUAUGCUUAACUACUGCUGUACAUUGAUGCUGUUUUGCCUUAUUGAGCUGCUCUGCUGCUGCAUCUUUUAAGGCACAAGUUCCUGUGUAUUGCUGCAUUUUGUGCCCAUCUCUGUUGCAUUAUGAGCCAUUUUGUGGCUGCAUAUGGAUGCAAACUUUAGUUGCUCUUACAUUGUGGCUGCUUUUGAAACUUUAAGCCAACUUGUGGCUGCAUCUGCAUCUGGAUGCGAGACUGCUGUGUUUGUUGCUAUGCUAUUUUUAAGAGCAGCUGUUACAUUGAUAUUACUACUGCAGUUUUGCCAAACUAUUGCUGCACUAUGUGACAAAUUGUUGCUGCACUAUUGAGGCAGAUUUGAGUUAAAGCAAAUUAAUGCUAUAUGUUGGGCAGAUUUGAGGCCAUCUCUACUGCGUUUUAAAGCCUACUACUCCACUGCAUUUUGGCCCAUAAUUAAUGGCCCAUAAUUAACAGUUCUGUGCUAUUGCUUUGUUUCAUAAAAUGAGCAGAUGCUACCUCGAUCAGAAAUAGCUGCUGUUUUGUUAAGAAAGAACAUAUCACUAUUCAUAUCACUAGUAUGAAUACGAUACUAUACUCGGGCCGAUGAAAAAGUAUUUAACUUGAGGCCAUGCCUAGUCCGGAAAGGUUAUCCCUCGGUUUGGGCAAGGAUUAUCUCACAUUGAUAUCACGAGGUAGGAACCGAUAUGCACCUAGCAAGACAACUAGAAUGUUCACUAGUUUGCAGCCGCGACAUGAUUCAGGUUCCUUUGCCAUAUUAGGAACUGUGAGUCUGAGCCUCCAUAAUCAAAGCUUGCAAAGUUUGAUACGAGUCUGAGGGAUAUUAUUAUUUAUAUUCAAAAACGUCACCCUACGGGGUGGCGUAUCAUUUGACUAACUAUUUUCAUUUCAUGCUUGCGAGGUAUAUCUAAUUAAUAUGGGUCUGUUAGAUGAGAUUCUACCAAAGACGAAGUGAAGUAAAGUUGAAGGCCCGACAACUCGGAUGAAGGACUAGAAGAGCAUAGAAGAACGAGAACAAGACUGCCGAAUAAUUUGGGCCCAAGGCCAUAUAAAAGCUAAACUUUUCUUCCCUUUCUUGUGGUAUAGUUUUACAUUAUUUUCUGUGUGAACGUACAAAUACAUUUUUAUAGAUAUUGAAAUCUCUACAGGUUAGAACUGUCACGCCCCGAAACAUGGCCUGGGCGUAAUACGAUACUCGGUGCCUGACUGCAUGUGACCGAGCGAACCACAUGGCUUGCUGAAUCAACAUGGGGCAUACAUGAGCGGAAUAUAACGCGAAUGCAUGAUGUGCUUUUGUCAAACAUAACAGUCGCAUGUGACCGAGCGAACCACAUGGCUUGCUGAAUCAACAUGGGGCAUACAUGAGCGGAAUAUAACGCGAAUGCAUGAUGUGCUUUUGUCAAAUAACAAGUCAAUACUUAAUAGAAAAAAUACUUGUGUAAUCAUGAGUACGGAAAUAACAUGAAUGAGCCAAAACAGCUAACCGACUCUGAAAGUAUAACAUGACACUUGUCUAGUCUAUGAAACCUCUGGCAUGAGUCUGAACAUGAAAACAUACUUGCCGGGAAAAGGACCCCAGCAUACCUUUAUAGACAAAACUAAAUAAAGAAGACAAUGUCUAAACCCGAAAUGAGAUAGGGCUCACCAAUAAGCUGGUAUGUGCAGAUCCUAAUGAGCAGUGGCGUCGUCCUAUAAAUCCAUACUUGUAUUGUGAAAUGCAGGCCCUCGGGCAAUAAAAAGGGGACGUCAGCACAUGGAAUAACAUGAUAAGGACUGAAACUGAAACCUGAACAUGAACAUGAGCGUGAGCAUGGGUACAUAAACCGAUAACAUGAUAUCACCACGUGGGUACAUGGAGUCUGGUACAUCAUCGGACCGGCAGAGCUCUCAUACCAUGCCAGGGUAUAAGGUGGUAACGUUCCUGAUGGAUCUAUUCAGUGUAAAAUUAAGGAAUCGUCCUAACUGGGCGGAGCGAUCCUUGUCCUAUGUUAGCUACAUAGUUUCAGGCUAUCUGAGCCUUCUCGGUAAUUCGUGCAACUCCCAAUAAUAUGAACAUGAUAUAAUUGGCUAAGAAGCCCAUGAUUUCCGUGAAUUAACUUGUACUUGACACAAAAUCAUGAUUUCACGAAAUAACUUAUAAACAUGGUUUCAUGAAAUACCUUGUAAUUAGCAUGUAUGUAUCUUGUAUCAUGGCAUGAAAGUAAUUAUAUAAUAUAGUUGCAUGAGAACUUGUAGACAUGUAGGAUAUUCAUGAAACAAUCAUUUUUAGUUAAAAACAUGCAUGCAAGAACCCAUGAAUUACAAGAUAUGGGUUUUCGUGGAUUAUGGACUGAUUGUCAAUACUCAUAUGGAGUUAUUAAGAACACAAUGAUAGAAUAAUAGCAAUUCAUACAUAAUAUAAUCAUGGACAUAGACCUAGGGUUGUCAUGAGCAUGGCAUAAAAGAAGCCCUAGUUUUCAUAAGGAUUCAUGCUCUAUGGAUUAAGAGGCGUGAGGAAGAACAAUGAUGUUCCCACACGUAGAUAGCAACCCUACACAUACCUGGUAAUGCUCCAAACUUGUAUUAAAAAUCUGAACUUGGAAAAAGAAUUCCAAAGUCUAAGUCUUGAGUCCUUUAAAUGGGUUUUCUUGAAAACCCUAUGCUAAGACAAUGAUUUCAUUGUUAGAUUAUGAGAACACAUGCUAGAAUUCACUUGGAAUGGUUGGAAUAGACUUACCUUGGUGUUCUUGGUGAUGGAGGAGAGGAACAGGUCGUUCUAGGGUUUAGAGACUUGUAAAAAUAAGAACUAAAACUGAAAUCAGGUAUUUAUAGUUUCUGGCGCGACGGGUGAAAUACAGACAAAAAUAUGGUCCGUAUUAUGAUUUACGGUCCGUAAACUUGGACCGUAUUUAAAGCAUAUUCCAAAACAGAAACACUGUAUUACCUCCUGCCCAAAUACGAUCAUCACAUACGGGCCGUAUUUUAAAAUACGGUCCGUAAUUAACAAUAUAAUUCUCCAAGCCUCAUUCCAGAAUGCAUAGUGAACUUGAUGACAAUUUACGUGCUGAAAUACGGGUCGUGUUUCAAAAUACGGUCCGUAUUUAACCAUAAAGUUUCCUGAGACAAUUUCCAGAAUGCUCAGUGGUUUUAGAUGUCAAUUACUGUUAUAUCCCGUAUUUUGUACAUUCGGAUAUUUCAAGAUAACCGCGAUAAGUUAUGGGCAAGGCUAUAAUGUUGAUCUUGUUUAACACACAAGUUGUUUAUGAAAAUUUUUGAUGUGGAAAUAUUAAGAAAGGCUAGGGGUAAAAAGGGAAAUUCACAAGGUGGCUCAUGGAAAUAUUUAGGAAAAUUUGGGGUUAAAAGUGAAUUAUGAGAAGUUAAUAAUUCUUGAAAAAAAAGGGCCAAGUGGCCGUGCAGUGUGGUGUGGGCCUUGGCCCACAUGGAUGCAUAAUAUAAUUAAGAUAAAAGAUGAUAAGUUUAUCAUAUUCUUCAUUUUCAUCACUUAGAAAAUUCAAGAACUUUGGAGAAAAAGAAGAAGAGCUAUUCGGCCAUGGUAGCCACAAUUGAAGCGCUCAAAUUUUGAUCACAAAAAAUAUUUUCUUCUAGCAAUUCAACCAAUUGGAAGGUCCUCUUUAACGUGGAGUAGUUGUUGGAGCAAGCAAAACACUUAUUUGUGUACUUUACCAUCCUAGCCAAGUUGAGAAGUGUAGUGAAGAAAGGUAAGGUUUAAUCUCCUUUCUCAUAUGUUAUGGGUGGUUUGUGCAUGUUGUAGUAUGUAGAAAUGAAUGAAAUUCAUGAAGCCCUAUGUGUUGGUGUUGGCCGUGUAUGUGUUGUGUUGUGUAGGAGUGAUGAACCAAUUUUUACUUAGUACUUUGGUUGUUGUUGUUGUUAUGGAUUCUAUGAUGAAAAUGAAAGGUCAAUAAUUCUAGUUGAAGUUGUAAUUGUCGGAGAGUUAUUUUAGAAGCUAAUGCGACAUUAAUACCACUUCUUGUAUUUAUGGAAAAUAAUGUUGUUAGUGUGUGAAUUAUUGGUGUAGUUCAUGAAUUUGAAAGAAGGAAAUGUGUUGCUAUUGCUAUUAUUGCAUUUUGGAGGUUUCGGGUGGAGUGGCAUAUUGGUUAGAUUAUUUUGAAUAUUGUGCGGAUUGUUUGAAGUGUUCUUGAGUUUUGUUUGAAUGGUUUCGGAUUAGUAAUUGAGUGUGCGAGCAUUGGUGUCAGCUUGAUUGUAUGUAGUUGAGGUGAAUGUAAAUGGAAUGUCGUCGAAUUAUGAGGGAGUUGCUAAUGUUAGAAUGUGUUUUGGAUUAAUUGUUGAUGUUGUUAAUAUGGUUGUUGGUAUUGUUGUUGAUGAUUUGGCUGAGUUGAAUUCUCGGGGUUGUUGAAUUUACAAGGAAAAUGCUGCCCAAAUUUCUGUAGACAAGUGCUAGCUUAGGAUUGAAUUCCUAAGUACUUGUAGCUAACGUUUGGUAUUUAAUGACGUUAUUGUAGAUCUUGGGGAGCCCGAGACUUGAGUUGGGCAAGGUAUGUAAAGCUUACCUUUCUUUCUUUUGGCAUGCCUUAGAUGUAAAUAAGAUGUGAUACAACCCUCGGGGUAACUCCUUUCAUAAGAUCCGAGCAUGUCGACGAUUCUUAUUCACUUCUUGAUGUUACACUCCUAAUAUAGUCGAACUAUGGUCCUUAGGUCUUUUGUAUAAUUGGAUAAUGAACGUGUAUACAUAAUUUUUGUUCUUAAAGGUCUUAUGUCGAAUAAUGUCUCUAACUUUCUUAGACGAGCUCGGAUCGCUCCGAUACGUUCUUAGGGAGUUCUAAAGUAAAUAAUGUCUGUAACUUUCGUAGGCGGUCUCGGAUUGCUUUGAAUCGUUCGUAAAGGUUCCUGUAGUAAAAUGCCCAUAACUUUCUUAUACUAAAUCGGAUUGACUCGAAACGUGUUUAUGAUCCUUCAGGUGUCGAUAAGUGUACUUGUCUAUCGAGUCUUAAAAAUUGAUUUAUGUGCAUAUGGUUUCUCACUACUCUGCUCGUGCAUACUGUUAUUAUAUCUUUCGCCGAGUCCCGGGCCGGUUUUGUCAUCGUGCGCACUAUGUUAUAUUCGGCAGUAUGAUGUGUUACGGUUCCCCGAGUCCCCCACUAGCGGGCCGGGUACCGUUUAUGUAUGUUAUGGUGUUAUGUUGCUAUGAUGUGUUACAGGGAUGUUACGGGGAUAUGAAACCUUCUGGAGUAUGAUGUGCUGUAGCGCCAAUGACGGGGUGGCGACCAUGUUCCCGAGCCCUAUACAUGAUUUUGAUAUGCAUUAUUUGUGUUUCAAAAAUAAACAUUUUGGUACAGACGCUCGUUCUGGUGACCCGCCAGCUUAGUACCUAUUCUGCUGUUUUGGAGUGCUCCCCUUGUUCUGGAGCCAACAUUCUGGUACAGACUUUUCCGUUGUAUAUAUGUAUGUAUAUUUCGGGGUACGGCGGGGCCCUGUCCCGCCAUAUGAUACUUUUGUUACUCUUAGAGGCCUGUAGACAUGUAUGUGGGUCAUGGGUCGAUGAUGUCCAGUUAUGUUAAUAUGGUUUAUGUCUUAAGCGGUUCCAUUUGCUGUGACAGCCUU